rnacentral:rRNA from 1 species
UGAGGAAUAUUGGUCAAUGGGCGAGAGCCUGAACCAGCCAAGUAGCGUGCAGGAUGACGGCCCUAUGGGUUGUAAACUGCUUUUAUAUGGGAAUAAAGUGAGGGACGUGUCCCUUAUUGCAUGUACCAUACGAAUAAGGACCGGCUAAUUCCGUGCCAGCAGCCGCGGUAAUACGGAAGGUCCAGGCGUUAUCCGGAUUUAUUGGGUUUAAAGGGAGCGUAGGCUGUUUGUUAAGCGUGUUGUGAAAUGUAGGAGCUCAACUUUUAGAUUGCAGCGCGAACUGGCAGACUUGAGUGCGCACAACGUAGGCGGAAUUCAUGGUGUAGCGAUGAAAUGCUUAGAUAUCAUGACGAACUCCGAUUGCGAAGGCAGCUUACGGGAGCGCAACUGACGCUAAAGCUCGAAGGUGCGGGUAUCGAACAGG